rnacentral:rRNA from 1 species
GACGAACGCUGGCGGCGUGCCUAAUACAUGCAAGUAGGACGCAGUUGCGAACGGGUGAGUAACGCGUAGGUAACUGCCUAUUAGAGGGGGAUAACUAUUGGACACGAUAGCUAAUACCGCAUACUAGUAGAUGGACCUGCGUUGUAUUAGCUAGUAGGUAGGGUAAUGGGCUACCUAGGCGACGAUACAUAGCCGACCCGGAGGGGUGAUUGGCCAAAAUUGGAACGGGACACCGGCCAGAAUCCUACGGGAGGCAGCAGGAGGGAAUCUUCGGCAAUGGGGGGAACCCUGACCGAGCAACGCCGGGUGAGUGAAGAAGGGUUUCGGAUCGGAAAGCUCUGUUGUUAAGGAAGCGGUACUUAACCAGAAAGGGACGGCUAACUACGUGCCAGCAGCCGCGGUAAUUC